CGUAUUUCAAGACUCGCGCCACCUAAUUUAUGGGUUCUACAGCAUCUAGUGAAUGGAGUGAAGUUGGUCGCCGCUUACGCCGUGUCCAUAGUGCUCGUUCUAAUUGAACUGACCACCUUCAUACUCGGCCUAACUAUGUUCUCACCCACUGUCUCUAUGAUCUCUAUCGGUUGCCACGGAUCCGCAUGUGCAGCGCUCACAUACGGUGUGGUUGGCAGUUGGCAUUGCGGCUGGGUGUGGCCCAUACUAGUCUUCGGUGCUGCGUUGCCUGCUGCAGCUGAUAUUAUUGCCGCUGCCUCCGCCAUAUGCUCUCUUAGACGAUAGAUUUUAUU